rnacentral:rRNA from 1 species
AACGAACGCUGGCGGCGUGCUUAACACAUGCAAGUCGAGCGGUAAGGCCCUUCGGGUACGACGAGCGGCGAACGGGUGAGUAACACGUGGGUGACCUGCCUCUAGCUCUGGGAUAAGCCUGGGAAACUGGGUCUAAUACCGGAUAUGACUCCACGGCGCAUGUUGUGGGGUGGAAAGCCUUGUGUGGCUAGAGAUGGGCCCGCGGCCUAUCAGCUUGUUGGUGGGGUGAUGGCCUACCAAGGCGACGACGGGUAGCCGGCCUGAGAGGGCGACCGGCCACACUGGGACUGAGACACGGCCCAGACUCCUACGGGAGGCAGCAGUGGGGAAGUCUUGCGCAAUGGGCGAAAGCCUGACGCAGCGACGCCGCGUGAGGGAUGACGGCC